rnacentral:lncRNA from 1 species
UGGGGGAAGUUUUAGAGCAGGAGUGAAAGUUUAUUAAAAAGCUUUAGAACAGGAACAAAAGGAAGGAAAGUACACUUGGAAGAGGGCCAAGCAGGUGACUUCAAAGGCAAGUGAGCGGUUUGACUUUUUGACUUUGGGUUUUAUAUGUUGGCAUACUUUUGGGGUCUUGUGUUACUUUUCCCACCUCACCCAACUCCUGAGAUCUUAUUGGGAAGCUGCUGAUCACCAGUUUCAUGUGCUUUCUAUUUAGGAGACUGUCUUUCCCUGGUGCUGGUUGUAAUCAAUUAUUACUUCAGAGAGACAGUUAACAACUGCCUGACCAUCACCUAAUGGCUGACUGACACUCCUGCUCCACACGUUUUGAGAACUGUAACAUAUCACUGGGCCAAACACCUAGAAGAUGGGAAGUGUCUGCCUAUGCCCUGCAAACAGGGCUUUAGCCCUACCACUCUCAAGAGCCUCGUGACAUAUCUCUGCAUUCAUCAUCUAGGAGAUGUGACUCCUCCCUGCUGCCUGCACUCUGCCUACAGGGAAGACCAUAACAACAUUUGGCCCAGCAACACGGUGAUGUGUUUUUUCCCAGGGCCUUGCUCACAGGGAGCAUUGUGACAUAUCACUGGAACCAGCAUCCAGGGCUGUGACUCUGUGUCUUGCUGUUAGAACAGGAUUGUAACCUAUCACUGGCCAAGCACCCAGGUGAUGUGACUUUUCUGCCUGGUGCCUGCCUUCAGGGAAAAUUGUGACAUAUGCCUGGCCUAACACCAAAGUGAUGUGGCUCUCCUGCUACCUCUAUGCACAGGUGGGAUUGUGACAUAUAUCUUCAUUCAGCUCAUAGAUGGGUUGGUGAUGCUCAGACAAAUAUUCAGCACACCUGCGAGUCUGCGACUCCAGUAAUCAUCCACGGUCUGCAGGAGAAAUUGAGGCUCUCACAAACAAAUCAAGUGCACAAUUGAGAUUGCGACUCUUGUACUCAGAUCCAACAUACAGAAUGUGUUGACUCUCAAUUUUAAAACCAGAAGAUGUGUGAGAUUAUUAAUCUGAUCUCUAAACCAUCCUGCAAGUGUGAUUGUGACACAAGUCUCUGUUCAGUACUUGAGUGAUUGGACUCCUUUGCCUGGGCCCAGUCCAAAGAUGUAAUUGUGACAUAUUGCUGAAACCAGCACAUAGGAGAU